UUGGAGGGCAAGUCUGGUGCCAGCAACCGCGGUAAUUCCAGCUCCAAUAGCGUAUAUUAAAGUUGUUGCAGUUAAAAAGCUCGUAGUUGAAUUUCGGGAUUGACACAUCGGUCGUGCCCUAAGGGGUAUGAACUGGUGUAGUCAAUUUCUCACCUUCUGGAGAACCGCGAUGCCCUUAAUUGGGUGUCACGGGGAACCAGGACCUUUACUUUGAAAAAAUUAGAGUGUUUAAAGCAGGCAUUUUGCUUGAAUACAUUAGCAUGGAAUAAUAAGAUAGGACGGCAUGAUUCUAUUUUGUUGGUUUCUAGGAUCACCGUAAUGAUUAAUAGGGAUAGUUGGGGGCAUUAGUAUUCAAUUGUCAGAGGUGAAAUUCUUGGAUUUAUUGAAGACUAACUACUGCGAAAGCAUUUACCAAGGAUGUUUUCAUUAAUCAAGAACGAAAGUUAGGGG
rnacentral:rRNA from 1 species